UACAGAGGUCUCAAGCGUUGUUCGGAUUCAUUGGGCGUAAAGGGUGCGUAGGCGGCGCGGUAAGUCGGGUGUGAAAUUUCGAGGCUUAACUUCGAAACUGCAUUCGAUACUGCCGUGCUAGAGGACUGGAGAGGAGACUGGAAUUUACGGUGUAGCGGUGAAAUGCGUAGAUAUCGUAAGGAAGACCAGUGGCGAAGGCGGGUCUCUGGACAGUUCCUGACGCUGAGGCACGAAGGCCAGGGGAGCAAACGGG
rnacentral:rRNA from 1 species